GCUGAACAGAGGAAUAACAACUGGGGGAGACAAAGCAACAAGAAAGAUUUUGGACGGCAUCAUAGAUGGGAUGUUGCAAGGGAACAUGCUGCCAUUGCAGAGCUUCAAUGAAAUAGAGAAGGCCUACAAAUUUGUAGAGAGACCGGUGGUAACAGUGCACAGUGUAACAUCGACUGUAAUACAGCUGUUGGAGCAAUACUAUGAACUUAGUGAUGAGCUAAUUCAACUGGACAACGUACCAAGAGAUGAAGUCUGGGUCAAGCUAGGUGGAGACAAGGGAGGGGACACCUUCAAAAUGAUGAUUCAGAUUGCGAGUGUCAGGUCUCCUAACUGCCUUCGCAACACUCAAGUGGUUGCACUCUAUCCUGGACAGGACUCUGCCUACAAUCUGGAAGUGACAAUGCAAGAGAUGGCUGCAGAUGUUGACAUUCUUUAAACCACCACAUGGAGAGAGAAGAAAAUACGCCUGUUUUUCUUUGGGGACUAUGAGUUCUUGUGCAAAGCAUAUGGCAUAUCAGGUGCAAGUGG